rnacentral:rRNA from 1 species
AGAGUGAACGCUGGCGGCAGGCCUAAUACAUGCAAGUCGAACGGCAGCACAGCAGAGCUUGCUCUGUGGGUGGCGAGUGGCGGACGGGUGAGGAAUACAUGGGAAUCUGCCCAGUCGUGGGGGAUAACGUAGGGAAACUUACGCUAAUACCGCAUGCGCCCGUUCGGGGGGAAAGCCGGGGACCUUCGGGCCUGGCGCGAUUGGAUGAGCCCAUGUCGGAUUAGCUAGUUGGCGGGUAAAGCCCACAGGCGACGAUCCGAGCUGGUCUGAGAGGAUGAUCAGACCACACGUGGAACUGGACGACGACCGGGUCCAGACCUACCGUACGGGGAGCAGACAAGGUAAGGGAAUAUUGGGAACAAGUCGGGGACGUACAACGG